CAAUUAACUCAACCGGGUUAAUAUCAUCCGUUAAAUUGCCCAGCAGCCACCAUGACAAGUCGUAUACCUACCUACGUUUAUUAUUAUAAUACUACAUGGUUUACCCGUAAUUUAUUUAUGGAAAACGUGUAUAACCUGUGGUGAAUAAAAAUGUUCGAGAUUAAAAUAUUACGAUUUAAUAACGUUUCUUGUUAUGAUAAUAUAUAAUUCCGGAGUGACAUCGAUGCCAGACGCGUGUUGAAUCGCUAAUAAUUUCAAAUUCAUAUAAUAUUAAAUUCCGAUAUGUAUCUAAUCGCGGUUCGGAAAUAUUCUUAAUUUGAAAAUAAAUUGUUCUUUUGAAAAACAUUCGUUUAGAUAAAAAAACAAAUGGGAUUAAAAAAAAACCUCGUAUUAGCUUUUUCUGUAUACGAUUCCCAUUGAUUUCCAUACAGUUAGAUCAUGGUCGUGCAUAAAAUAGUAAACGAAGUGGCUGCAGGGACGGGCGAAGGGUUAGCGAAGGGUUAAAUUGUUUUUGUUUACAAAUAUAAACACGAAUUCUCGACAAUUGACGUCUUACACCGUCUGCAUAUCAUAAAAAAUAUAGCGUCUGGACUUUUUUUGCAAAUAACUUGAAAAAUAAUGGCAUAGAUUUUAAAAAAAUUGCAGUACUUACAUGAGUCAACUAUAAUAAUAUUUGUGUGUAAUUUGAAGUUAUAUCACCAGGCGAAAAUCGAAAUCUUCUCCGGCCCUCUUCCCUGGAAAAUUCGAUAAGAACUCAUACUGAUAUAUUGAAUGAUAAUACGAAUGAGUUUUACAAUCACUCGCAGCCGGC